AACGAACGCUGGCGGCAUGCCUAACACAUGCAAGUCGAACGAGACCUUCGGGUCUAGUGGCGCACGGGUGCGUAACGCGUGGGAACCUGCCCUUAGGUUCGGAAUAACUCCCCGAAAGGGGUGCUAAUACCGGAUAAUGUCUUCGGACCAAAGAUUUAUGGCCUUUGGAUGGGCCCGCGUUGGAUUAGCUAGUUGGUAGGGUAAAAGCCUACCAAGGCGACGAUCCAUAGCUGGUCUGAGAGGAUGAUCAGCCACACUGGGACUGAGACACGGCCCAGACUCGUACGGGAGGCAGCAGUGGGGAAUAUUGGACGAGGGGCGAAAGCCUGAUCCAGCAAUGCCGCGUGAGUGAUGAAGGCCUUAGGGUUGUAAAGCUCUUUUACCCGGGAUGAUAAUGACAGUACCGGGAGAAUAAGCUCCGGCUAACUCCGUG
rnacentral:rRNA from 1 species